GACGAACGCUGGCGGCGUGCUUAACACAUGCAAGUCGAACGGAAAGGCCCCUUUGGGGGUACUCGAGUGGCGCACGGGUGAGUAACACGUGAGUAACCUGCCCUUGACUUCGGGAUAACUUCAGGAAACUGGGGCUAAUACCGGAUAGGAAUCCUUGCUGCAUGGUGGGGGUUGGAAAGCUUCGGCGGUUUUGGAUGGACUCGCGGCUUAUCAGCUUGUUGGUGGGGUAGUGGCUUACCAAGGCUUUGACGGGUAGCCGGCCUGAGAGGGCGACCGGCCACAUUGGGACUGAGAUACGGCCCAGACUCCUACGGGAGGCAGCAGUGGGGAAUAGUGCACAAUGGGCGGAAGCCUGAUGCAGCAACGCCGCGUGCGGGAUGACGGCCUUCGGGUUGUAAACCGAUUUCAGCAGGGGCGAAGCUUGUGGUGACGGUACCUGCAGAAGAAGCACCGGCUAACUACGUG
rnacentral:rRNA from 1 species